GUCACUUACGCGGCCGGAUGGUUUCUACCUGUUACGCCCUUCGAUCACAACCUUAGUGUCUCGCUUUGCUCGCUGUUGAUGGGUGUUAUUAAAGGAGAGACUGAUCAAUGCCUCGGAGGAGCCAGGCGCUGGUCACUCCGCGCCUGAGUUACAACAGAUGCCAAUUUUCACAAGAUGUGUAGGACUUUGAGACUUCAUAUCUGCAGGCAAUGAAGACGGAAGAAUUACUUUAGCCAAUAAGCUGAAAAGUUAUGAAAACACACACAAGUGGACAAAUAGAAAAGUUGUAAAAACUUCAUUUUCUUAGGAAGUAAAAUUAACCUCAUCUCAAUUAGGGAAAGGGAAAGUCAACAAGGCAAUGGCAUCAAAGGAAAAAUGGUUUGCUUAGUGUGGCAGAGCAGAAUCGGAAAAAGAAUCCAUGUUCUGACAACUGAAUGACAUGUUCUGUUUUCUCAUCUUUCCAAAAUCCCUCCAUGCCUGCCAUCAGAGUCAAGGGAUCACUCUAAACUAAAAUAAUUUCUGGCCAUAGACUCCUGCUUUUCUUUACUUCCUCUUACCACUGGAGUAUUUACUCCAUCUGUGAUUACUCAGGAUGAAUAUUCAGAACAACCAAAUGAUACAAAAAGAUGUAACAAAAUCAGUGAUUUACAACUAGGUGGUAAUCCAAGCUUUGAAAUUAUAAUUUACUUUGGGUCUUCUAAUUCAAAACACCUACAGGCUGUAACUGUGAAGGAACUGAAUGAAGAGCACCAUAAGACCCUAGGAAAUCUUGUGACCUUAAAAUGAGGGUAUCAAGUAUGAUGCUGUGAACCCUUUGGACACCAGUGAAAUUAACUGCAGUAAAUCUGAGGGAUUUUUUGCAUUUAUUGAAUUCCUCUUCUAAUUACUUACUCUGCUUAUAAUGUGACUUUAAUGUCACUCACUCCCGAGUUUCAAUAACACCUGGUACAAAUGGCCACAUUGUAUGUUGGCUCCCCCCAUUACAACCAACACUAUUAAUACUCUCAUUUUUUCAAGUCUCUUUUGUUCUCAGCCUUGGAGUCCAUUGUCCAUUUUAUUUUCCUAUCCGGUCUCAGUGUCUGAGUCAGAAUACAACUGUACCACAAAUUAAAAUGAAAAUUCAAAAUGAGGGGGAAAAAAGUGAUUGAAUUAACAUGAUAUUUGGCAAGUAACAUUUUACCAGAAGCUACAUAUUAUUCUGCUCUCAUGUAUGUCCAGCAUGUAUUUUGAAAAUGAGCUGGAUAUAGAAUUUAGAGAAGUUCCCCAUACAGUCAAAUUUAAUACAAUGGAGAAACACAACGGGAAAUAAAAAUUAAUCUUGUAGUAGCAUUUAGGAUGACAAACCUAAUAUAAUUGUAGACCAGGCAGCCUAGCACUGAUCCUGCACAGAGUAAUUCAUUAAUCAAUGUGGAAGUUUGAUUAAUCAGAACUAAUAAAGUGGGUGAUUAUGUGCCAGUUGAAGAGGAAAACAGAAUAAGAUCUUGUAGCAUGAAUUUGAUAACGUUUAUCUGUACCAUCAAGAGGAAGUUCUGAUAAAGAGUUUACCACUGACUUCUAAGAACUUUUGUAGAUAACUAACUUGGGCCCACACAAUAUUUUGAUGAAGAAACUGGGUGAUAUUAAAUUAGCAUAACCAGUGUUGUAUAGAGACAAAAGAGUCUUGUUAAAAUCAAGAUAUAAAGUUUACUGCUAGGGGACAAAUUAGGAUUAGUUACUUCAUUAUACAAUUUAUAAUAAAAUGUUGUAGAUAAACACUAGUUAUUGUUUAUUCUAAUCUUUUGGUGUGGAUAAAGAGUUUAAUAAUUUGCUCAAGAAUCUUGGAAAUGUUAAUUCACGUAUUUCCUGAUCCUAUAUUUUAAUAUUUAAAAAUGUGAAAAUUAAAAAAAAGGUAAAAUUUAAAAAUGUGUGGAUUAAAAAGGUAGUAUUUUGUGCAUCAGGAACUCCUGAAGAUAAUAAUUUAUGGCCCAGAGCUUGCUCUGGCUUCUUCUUAAGUAUUCUCUAAUCAAUUGUAUCAGCUACCCAGCUGAUUAUAUUUAUUUCAUUUAGAUAACAUUUAUUCUUUCCACAUCUUGCCUUUUUUAGUCCUGUUGCAUUAUUAGAAUUUUAAUUAAUACUUUUGGUUAGCAACAUCCCUUUAUAUCCAUUCUUAGCCAUAUGUAUUUGCUUCUCCUUUUUUCUCUCUCAAAUGCUACAGCUUUUACUGCAAAGUAGUGUCACCCUAUGUUUGACUUUACUAUUGUAUCACUAUCACAUUGCCAGGAUGAUUUACUUGUUUUCCUGUAAAUACCAGCACUACUCUCCCAAAUAACUUCCUGAAACAUCUGGUUUGUAUAUCAUUUUUGACCACGAAAAAAUUGGGAAAAUUCAGUUUAUGUGGUAAAAAAGAAAACCUAAUUUUCCCAACUUCUUUGGAGUUCACACAAGAAAACAUGUUUUGGAAGCAAUUUUAAUUGUUACUUCAUGACCAUUUUCAGUAACAGUUUAUUUCCCUGAAGGACAUUAUGUGGUAUUACACCUAAUUUUACUCAAUAAUGUUAUUUCAGUCUAAUGGUUCUCUCUAGACUUUUUUGCUAUUGAACAGAAAUCUUUAUUGAAUAGAAAUCGAAGAUUUUUUGCUGAGGAACAUAAUCCUUAAAAAGAUUGAAUUAUUAAUGAACAUAUAAUUUACAUGAAAUUUUACCCUAGUACAGUCUCAUGAUGGAAUACUCUCUACUUCUGUGUUUGAUUUUACGCACCUGUCUCAACCUGCUCCAGGUUAUCUAGCAUAGACCACAAAUAUUUUUUGCCUGCUUAUAUUUAUCUAAUAUAUAGCACAAAGAAGAGCCAAAAGACUCUAAAAUACCUGAGCUUCUGUUGUUUGGAGAAAAAGUAUGUAUGUCUGAUCCCUGCUAUCACCCAGGCUGGCUUCAGUUUCACUGAAUGCAUAAAUUGUACUCUCAUGACAAGAUCCUCAAAUAUUUAUUGUUCCUGAAGACAGAAAUACUUUCCACUAAGAUGUGUUUCUUAACAAGUUUUCACAAUAAUUAUGGUCUCCCUUUUUUUCCCCUCAUUGUAUUCUUACAAGUUCAAAACUAAAGAAACAAACUUUACUGCAGUAAUCCACAUUUUUGCUGUUUCUAUUUGUGAACCUUGAGGACUAACAAAAGCAUUUUGACACUUUGCAGAUCAUUUAUGCAUGUCUGUUGAUAGAAAUAUUUAAAUUUUCUUCUAAUCUUCAAAAUACUUCAGCAAAAAGUGGUUUAAAAGGGUGGUGGGGGG